UACGGGGGGGGCAAGCGUUGUUCGGAAUUACUGGGCGUAAAGGGCUCGUAGGCGGCCAACUAAGUCGGAUGUGAAAUCCCCAGGCUCAACCUGGGAACUGCAUCCGAUACUGGAUGGCUUGAAUUCGGGAGAGGGAUGCAGAAUUCCAGGUGUAGCGGUGAAAAUGCGUAGAUAUCUGGGAGGAAUACCGGUGGCGAAGGCGGCAUCCUGGACCGACAUUGACGCUGAGGAGCGAAAAGCCAGGGGAGCAAACGGG
rnacentral:rRNA from 1 species